rnacentral:rRNA from 1 species
AUGUAUCCAACAAAUCACUACAUGGAUCCAUACUCCUCAUACUACAGGCAUCAUGCUCCCUAUCCAUAUUACCCCCCUCCUGGCUGGGAGGCUGGGCACCAGCAGAUGCCUGAACCGGACUGCUCGCCAUGUCGGCCACCGUAUCGCCCUUGGCCGUACAGUGCUAGCAUGAAUCACUCAGGCCUUCCAGAGUCCCACUCCCAUAGCUGCUGCAGCCACACAUACCCUCCUGGUUACUACAGUUUCAGACCCCCAUUUCCCCAAGAGAUUCCACCACCUCCUCCAUACUACCAUGGUCCAUUUCCACCGCAUCAUCCGAACCCCUACUCGCCAUCAUACUUUGGCCCACUCCCACCACCUUACCCUGUUGAUCAAACACCUUAUAGUGGUUAUGACAAGUUCAAGAGCCAUUGCUGUGGGUGUCCGAACCAUGUUUGCCAUGGUGAUGGAGGGCAGAAGAGCAACGUGAAAAUCGAAGAACACAUGCCUGAGAGUAACCACAAGGGUGCAGACAAUAAUUCCAGCAUAAUUCGAAACCCAAACUACCAGUACCCAGUGAUGUGGUUACCGUCCGGUGACAUGAAAGACAACAAGGGUAGUGGAAGAAGCUUUGAGUUUCCACCUCAGUUCUUCAGCAAGUGGUUUCCUCAGAGUGGAGAGAGGACAGAGGAUGUGAAGCCAGCCGAUGACAGUCAGAAGGCGAAACAACUUCAGUGGCCAUUAGUUUGGAUGCCACCAGGAUAUGGCGAGACCAAACCAGAAGCUAAAAAAGAGCCGAAGGAGAUCGAGCAGAGUCCAAAGAACACGCAAGAAGAUCCGCCUUCGCCGAAGAUCAAGAUUAUUCCCCUGUCAUGGUUUGGAAAUGAUAGUCAUGAUCAAAAGCCUGCCGCUAGGGAGGGCUCUGGAGAACAAAAUGGAAGAUCAUCAGCGACGAGUCAGACUGCAGGCACGGAGCGUCGGCAUGACACGACAGUGGAUGGAAAUUGCAAAACCGUCCCAGUUGUGCCCGAGAAACCAAACAGUGGAAAUGAACCUGCUAUUUCAGUUGUGCAGGAGAAACCAAACAGUGCGAAUGAACCUGCUACUAUUUCAGUUGUGCCGGAGAAACAUGGUGUUGAGAAGAAGGUUCAUACCUGCAGGACCAUCCCGGUUAUGGCUCAGAAAGAGAGUGAUGAGAAGAAGUCCUACAUGGGUGGAAACAAAGAGGAAAAGAAGGCCAUCAUUGUUCAGAAGGAGGGAGAAAAUAAGAAAAGCAACAAUGUUGAAUCAACAAAGGCUAAGCCUUCAAAAUUACCCCCCGUAUGCUUGCGAGUGGAUCCUCUGCCAAAGAAGAAAUCAGGAAACACAUCUUCAAGGUCAUCCAACCAAGCAACCCAGAAGGUUUGUGAAAAAGUGAAGGAUGUGAAAGAGGCCCAUGGCAAGAACCAGGAGACAAAGCUAUCAGAACAUCAGAAAGAGGGUAAGAUGCCGAUUAAAGAGAAAUCGUCUGAUGAGAUUGCCACAAAUACAGGACCUAGGAAUGUGACAGUGCUAGAUGCUUCUGUGAAGCAUGCGCAAGAGAAACAAGUUUCGACAAGCAUGACUGAUCAGAAGGUGCAACCUAGUGUCAGUGCUGAAGCGCAAGAAAAUGUCAGUGCGAGGAGCUUGCAGGAGUGUGACAAAAACCGAAAGGAGGAUGAGUUGAAGAUCCGAAGUGAAGCUCCAAAUUUAGCCUGCGAAAUCAAGUUAUCAUCACCAGAUGCCGCUGUUCGUAUUCAGUCUGCAUACAGAGGGUACCAUGUACGAAGAUGGCAACCUUUGGAGAAACUACGGAAGAUCAAGAAUGUACAUAAACAGAUGCAAGAUGUGGAGAAGCAGCUGCAGGCCCUCGAAGCUUCUUCAAAGCAGCCGACGGAGAAAGAGCACAUCGCUAUUAAUGAGACCAUCAUGAAUUUGCUUCUGAACCUUGACACCAUUCAGAACUUGCAUCCAGUUGUGAGGGAGGCUAGGAAGUCUGUUGCUCGACAGCUAGUUUGUUUGCAGGAGAAGCUUGACUCUUUGUGCAAGAAACUGCCUGCUGAACCAAAUCACCCUAAGAGUGAGGAAGCAAGUCUCACAGGAGUGGAUGGGGAACAAUUGCCUUCCUCAGUUAACUCCAACGAGUCUAUGCACGAUGAACUUUCAUCGGAAGUUGCCUUGAAGUUGAGCCAAGAUGGAGAUUCUACUGAACAGAAACAUCAGACGGAGGAACCAAGUACUGCAAAAGAAGAAGUGCAAGAUGAAGAGAAAGCUGCAGCAGCUGGUGAAUGUCAAGGAGUACCACCGACGGAUGUCAUGCCUGAUGCAGCUUCAUCAGGACUUAUCACUGAGAAGAAGCACCAAAUUGAAGAGCCAGGCAUUUUGAGGGAAGAAUGUGCUGAAGAAUGUUCAUGUCAGCAGCAGAAAGAUGGAGAGAAGGGUGAAGAAUCAUCAACGCACCACAUCGAGCCAUUGCAUUAUACACCUGCUAGGCAAAACUGCCACACUGAAGAAUCAGAUCAAAGGGUUUCUCGUACUACAACUGAGGAUGGCAAAACUUCAAUGACUACAGCAUGUAUGGACAGUGAAUUGGCUGCUGAUAAUCAGGACGGUUCGGCAGAAGGGGGUCAGGUGCAGGAAUCUGCUCCCGUUGGUAUCUCGUGGCUGAAACAUGAUGCUGCCCCUGCUGAAGACCAGUUCAAAGAACCAGGUGCUCCAUCCCUUCAUCUGGAGGAUGAGGAUUCUUCUGUGCCUUCAAAAGCUGCAGAUCCACAUGAAAAUGAUCCAGCCAUUGCAGAUGACUCCAUAGCAAUCAUGACUCCAGCAGAUCAACAAGAAGAGUCCGUCGAUGCCGACAUGCAGAAAGAAGUUGCAGAGACCAUGGUUGAUUCAGACAAAGAACCAAAUGGAAUGGGCGAUGCCGGUAACAUGGACUACGUUACCGGUGCAAAUGCAGAGACCACAAAGCAAGAAAAAAUUGGUUUGGUAGGACCAGAAGCGACAAGGCAAUGUGAUGUUUCUCAUAUGGGCGAUUCAGCCCUUGUGGAGCAGCAAAAUGAAGGUGGCUCUGCCAUGGAAAAUACUGUGAAUGAUGUCAUUGGAGUGGAGCCUGAAGCCAUUGCAUUGGAAAGCAGAGUCGCUGCCAUUGUAGAGGAGACUGAAGCUGUACCAUUGGAAAUCGAUGGCAAGACCACCGAAAAUACUCUGGAUGAUGCCGCACCAUUGGAGAACAGAGACAAAAUCAUGGAAAAUACUAUGAAUGUUGCAAUUGGAGAGGACCCUGAAGCUGCUGUACCACUGGAAGUCGAAGGCAAGACCAUUGAAAAUACUCUGAAUGAUGCAGUUGGAGAGGAGCCUGAAGCCGUACCACUGGAAAGCAGAGUCAAGACCAUGGAAAAUACACUGAACGACGCAGGAUGUCCGAGUAAAACGAGUGCUGAACCUGCCCUGCCUGAAAGUAGAGGCGACGGAGCACCAUGUGAACACGGCGGUGCAACGGUUUACGCCAAUCCUAACUCCAAGGUGCCUUCGGAGAGCCAUGGUGGCGAGCAGAAGGAGCAGGAUGAUGAUGGAGGUAAAGUAGAUGUUUCUGAAUCUCUAGCAUGUGCAGUAGGAGCAAAUUCUGCUGUACCUGCACAAGAAGCAGGCGAGCCGGAAGAAGGUGCUGCUGAAGGAGCAUUUCCAGAGGAAGAAGAAGCAGCGGCUACGGCCCCUGCGACUCGCGAUGAUGGCCUGAAGAGCAGCUACGACGGCAACAACACAGGAGUGAGCGACGAGAACCAGAAGCUCAAGGAGAUGCUGCAGAAGGUGCUCGCGUCCGGGAACGACCAGAUGGGGGUCAUCGCGGAGCUGAGCGACAAGGUGAAGUCGCUGGAGAGGAAGCUCGCGGCGCACAAGAGGAGGAGGCCCAAGGUGAGGGUGCAGCACCGGCCGGCCAGGGACGCAACGGCCAACGACGUGCACUGA